rnacentral:tRNA from 1 species
GCCGGUGUAGCUCGGGUAGUCAGAGCACGUCAUUGGUAAUGACGAGGCCGUGGGUGCAAGUCCCUCCACCGGCUCCA